CUUUCAGAGUCCAGGCGGACGCUACAAUAUAUUUAAAACCCCUUCAGUCCAGUAACAGCUGUGUUUAUUUGUUUUUUAAAGUCACUGGUUAGCACUGGUUGAUCUCAGUUCAUAAUAUUGCAGCAAAUAUCCAGCACAACAAACCCAGCUUUAAACCCAAACCAUCGCUGUAUAAACAGAGACAGAGGAGAAGUUUUCUUUCAGAAACAGCGAGGGUUACCUGCGUGUUUACUAAUCCGUUACUCGUUCGUGCUGGCGUUAAGAUCAUUUGCACGUUAGGUGGAUUUACAGGGCUAACGUGUAUUUAUCUUAUUAAUCUUUAGUGAUAGCAGGUAAAAUCUUGGCAAUGAAAGCUAUAUGAGUCUCGUGGCUCGAGUUUAUGGGGCGUUUGGGGACAGUAGAACCAAAACAGCUUAGCUAUGGUGGUGAGCUUCCUGAGGGCUUUGAGGAUAGUUAUCCUGGUGCGUGUCUUUCGUCUGGCCUCUCAGAAGAAAGAUCUGGAGAAGGUCACUAGAAGAAAGGUAUCUGAGAACAAAAGGCGGUAACAAAAAGGAUGGAUUUGAAUUGGAUCUCACCUAUGUCACAGGCACUCUACAGAAAUCCCAUAAAAGAAGCUGCCAUAUUUCUGGACACAAAGCAUCCCGAUCAUUACAGAGUUUACAAUCUCUGCAGUCAAAAAGGCUACGAUCCACUGUUCUUCCAUUACAGAGUGCAACGAGUGAUGAUUGACGACCAUAACGUACCGUCAUUAGACCAACCCACUCGUUAGGACUCCCCCUAUCACUAGUAAUGCCCCAACACACCAGGAGGAUGAAGACUAGCACACUCUUUCUCCGAUACAUGUGAAGUCAGCCACCGCUUCUUUUCGAGCUGCUGCUGAUGCAGCAUUGCCAAGCAGCCAGCACAUUUGGAGGAAAGCGCAGCGGCAGGUGAAGUGCGUAAUAUGGACAGUGUGCACUUUGCACUUGUGCAACUUUUUUUUAAAAACAGUUUGAUUUGUUUCUGCUAUAUUUUGAUUCAUAGCUUUAUAUAAAAUGAAAAUAACUUAUAACUAUAUUAUUUUCUUUAGCCCGAGGAACCUGAGGAAAGUGGUGGGAAAUCUCGAGCCAGGUCAGACCUUGGGUUGGGUUUGGGCAGAGAACCUAAGCUCUUAUUCACAUAUUGAACUUUGUGUUAUUGUGUUCUCAGUGACAUGUUGAACUACACUGCCAGUUUGAGGGAAUGUCAUUGCCAUCCACUGCAAAGGAGGCAAAGGUGUGGGAAAGGGCAAUGGCAGUGAUCUGAAGGUGCGGAUCAUAGUGAAAAGAGAGCAGGUGUUCCAGUGUGUCUGUGCCACGCAGACGAACUGUAGGCUGUUCCCAGAUACUGAAAACAAUGCCGGGGUGAUCAGCUUUCAGGAAGGGCCAGUGGUUUGUGGUGAUGUUAAGGUCAUGUUUGAAUCCAGGGCUGGUCUUCCAAAGGGGUAUGAGGACUAUCCUUUCUAUUUCUGGUUCAACACUUCAUUUGUAGAGAACAACAGGCUCUAUCUGUCAAGGGAGGAACUGGACAACCCUCGUAAGUCCAAAACCUGGGACAUCUACAAGGAGGACUUUGGUGUGACCGUGUCUUUCAGUGACCCUGCACUUAUGUAGCAGACGACACUUGCUUGUGUAUCUCAACUAAAACCCUUAAGCCCUGCACAAGGUCUAAAUCUUUGCUCUAAUGUAGGUUUUCACACACUUAUAAAAGGUGAGUGAUGUUUAGGGAUUGGAUUCGGGCAUAUUGUGCCCCUAAAGCUAUAGCUAUAGCUAUAUAACCUCAACUUUAUGUCCAUCCCCCAUCUUCACUGUAAGAGCUUUUUACUGAGCCGUGCAUACAUCACAAUAUUAUGCAUUUGUUUGUCAAAUGUUUUUUGUCUUUAAAUGAAGACAAAUGUUUGUGUCAGUUUAGCAUAUUAUGCUUCCAAAAUGUAAAUCUUACUCUUUAAGCUUGAGUGUACAUCAAAUAAAGCAAUCGAGGCUGCCACUGUGAAAUGGUCAAUGGUUAUGUGUGCAGAAACAUUUUUUUGUAGUACACAUGUAUUGAAAUAAAUACUAAUGUCUCUGUAA